AUGGGAUUAAUUGCAGUCCUUGAGUUGACUUCUUAAAAGCAUUUAAUUUAGUGUUAAGUUUCAGUGAUGUAAUAAAUGAAUUGGAGAAAAACUACGGGUAUGGAGAAUAAUCUGGAAGGCACUGUAGUAACCCAGAGAUAAGAAUGAAGGGGACAGCAGUCUAAAAGACAACUAAAGGAUCAGAGAACAUCGAGAAAGAAGGAAUGGAAAUAUUUUAAGAGCCAGAGGACCAGAACAUUUGCUGAAAGCCUAUAUAACCAGAGAAGAAGAAGUUCUUUAUAUUACAUUGUGCUUGGAGAAAAGGAUUUAGAGAGGGCAUCAAGUGUCUGAACCCCUGUUGCUACUCUAUGCUUCAAAGGUGAGGACAAUAGGCCAGGCAAUGCUGGCUGUUCUAGCACAGGCCAUCAUUUCUGUAUGAAUACAAAUCCUAGAGGAAGAUUGAUGAGAAUGAUUUCAAAGUGCUCAAGUGAUCAAGAACAACCAGUUUGAAAACUACGGCAAAUGAGAAGACAGAUGAAAACUCCACUCAAAUAAGAACAGAACCAAUACCAUAUGCAGACGUGAUGUGCUACAAGAAACUGGUUCAUGAGGUCAAGAUUCAGGAGAGCCAACAGUGCAGGUCCAGUCUGAGGACCAGGAGAAAGGAUGGUGACUUGUCUUCAGGCCUGAGACUCAGGAAUGGCCAGUUUUAUUGUAAUUCUAAAUUCAAGGGGGAGCGAAACAUAUAAAAAUAAGGUAAACCUGUUUUGAUUAUCUGACCACUCAUCAAACACUUCUAACGAAUUCUGGAAAAUAAGAAAUGUAACUCACUUGACCUAUGACUUUCAUUUAAUGGCCUUACAUACAUUAUCUGUAAG